rnacentral:rRNA from 1 species
AUUGAACGCUGGCGGUAUGCUUAACACAUGCAAGUCGAACGAUGAGAAAGAGCUUGCUCUUUCGAUUAGUGGCGGACGGGUGCGUAACGCGUAGGAAUCUACCUAUUAGUGGGGGACAACUUAGGGAAACUUAAGCUAAUACCGCAUACGCCCUACGGGGGAAAGAAGGGGAUCGCAAGACCUUUUGCUAAUAGAUGAGCCUGCGUAGGAUUAGCUAGUUGGUGGGGUAAAAGCUCACCAAGGCGACGAUCCUUAACUGGUUUGAGAGAAUGAUCAGUCACACUGGAACUGAGACACGGUCCAGACUCCUACGGGAGGCAGCAUUGGGGAAUAUUGGACAAUGGGCGAAAGCCUGAUCCGGCAAUACCGCGUUUGUGAAGAAGGCCUUAGGGUUGUAAAGCACUUUCAAUUGGAAGGAAAACCUCGAAGCUAAUACCUUCGAGUUUGACAUUACCUUUAGAAGAAGCACCGGCUAACUCCGUGCCAGCAGCCGCGGUAAGAC